CUUCAAGUCCAAACCGAAUGCUUGCAAUAGGUUGGACUUAGUGAUGUGCUUAUGUACCAAGUCUUGAAGCUUCUUAGCCAUUGCUCUAGUUAUUGGCUCUUGGUAUAGAAUUGGUGCAAUCAGUUCCUCAUCAAAGUCAGUAGCUGCUGAGAUUAUAAUGUCAAUAGAAGUUACAUUUAUACUAGGAAAAGCUGCUAUUUCGUCUUUGUGCAUGAAACUAUUCAGGUGGAAGAAUACAUUUUUUUCUUGUUGUGCUUGCAUGACACUGUAAUUGAUGAUUGUCUGCCGUCUUCUAUUUUCUAUUUUGUUGCUAAGUAUUAUUUAUUGUCCUUUCCUUGCAGGAGUUUAUGUCAUGAUGUCAGGGCUAGAUUUGGAGAGACUUGUUUUGGCUGCUGGGCCUCUGCGUAUCAUGCAGGCAUGUCUUGAUGUUUCGACAAAGAGAACAGUUUGGCCGUCCAAUUGGGGAAUUUCAGUUUAUACAGGUGAUAUGUUUAUUCUGUUGCAAGGGACUGUGACAAUGGGAAAGUUGACCCAAAGGUUUGUGCUGGGGUGAUACUCUGUGCAGCUGAAAGGGCAAUCCAUGUUGCUUUGCAGGCUAUACAAUGUUUAGGUGGUAAUGGCCACGUAAACGAGUACUCAACUGCCUGCCUUCUUCCGGAUGCCAAACUGUAUUAAAUUGGGGCAGGGACUAGUGAAAUCAGAAGAAUGAUAAUUGGUCGUGAACUCUUUAAGCAAUGAGAGGAACAUGCACAGUGUGUUGCUGUUUGAAGCAUCCUGCCACAGUCAAGUAAAUGAUUUUUUUUACUCAUUUUGAAAUGCGAGUCUCUUACAGCACUGGGAAAGGACUACUGAUAUACGCGAUUCUAAGAAUAAAAUUUACCAGUUUUCAAUUAGUGCAAAAAAUGAACAUUUUAUAUUUCAUUUUCAUGAAAAUUUCUUCUCUUAGCGUUCAUUUUCAUUAUUCCAAGGAGUUUCAAAAAAUUCAAGCAUCUUAAGGAUAUGUAGAGGCAGGAAAGUUUUGGAUGAGAACCCUAGCUGCUUGUUCCAUUGAUGAGAAGGCAUCGGAGAAACCAUCAAACCAGGAAAGCAAGCGUCAACCCAGUUCUAGCUGUACUGGCUAUUUGCUUACUUGACAGUUGUCCUGACAAAAAUAUGGGAUAUCAAAAUGGGAAAA